rnacentral:rRNA from 1 species
AGUGAACGCUGGCGGUAGGCCUAACACAUGCAAGUCUAACGGCAGCACAGGAGAGCUUGCUCUCUAGGUGGCGAGUGGCGGACGGGUGAGGAAUACAUCGGAAUCUGCCCAGUCGUGGGGGAUAACGUAGGGAAACUUACGCUAAUACCGCAUACGACCUUCGGGUGAAAGAGGGGGAUCGCAAGACCUCUCGCGAUUGGAUGAGCCGAUGUCGGAUUAGCUAGUUAGCGGGGUAAUGGCCCACCAAGGCGACGAUCCGUAGCUGGUCUGAGAGGAUGAUCAGCCACACUGGAACUGAGACACGGUCCAGACUCCUACGGGAGGCAGCAGUGGGGAAUAUUGGACAAUGGGCGCAAGCCUGAUCCAGCCAUACCGCGUGGGUGAAGAAGGCCUUCGGGUUGUAAAGCCCUUUUGUUGGGAAAGAAAUCUUUCAGGCUAAUACCCUGGGAGGAUGACGGUACCCAAAGAAUAAGCACCGGCUAACUUCGUG